rnacentral:rRNA from 1 species
GAUGAACGCUGGCGGCGUGCCUAAUACAUGCAAGUCGAGCGAACAGAUGCGGAGCUUGCUCCUCUGACGUUAGCGGCGGACGGGUGAGUAACAUGUGGAUAACCUACCUAUAAGACUGGGAUAUCUUCGGGAAACGGGAGCAAAUCCCGGAUAAUAUCUUGAACCGCAUGGUUCAAUAGUGAAAGACGGUUUUGCUGUCACUUAUAGCUUGAUCCGCGCCGCUUUAGCUAGUUGGUACGGUAACGGCUUACCAAGGCAAAGAUGCGUAGCCGACCUGAUGGGGGGAUCGGCGACACUGGAACUGAGACACGGUCCAGAGUCCUACGGGAGGCAGCAGAAGGGAAUCGUCCGCAAUGGGCGAAAACCUGACGGAGCAACGCCGCGUGAGUGAUAAAGGUCUUCGGAUCGUAAAACUCUGUUAUUAGGGAAGAACAAAUGUGUAAGUAACUAUGCACGUCUUGACGGUACCUAAUCAGAAAGCCACGGCUAACUACGUG